rnacentral:snRNA from 9 species
AUACUUACCAGGCGUAGGGAUGCCGUGAUCAUGCAGGUGGUUUCCCCAGGGUGAGGCUGCUUCAUUGCAGUGCGGAGUGGUUGACCCUUGCGAUUAUUUACAUUUUUUAUAAGUUUAUUGUUGUAACCUUCUUUUCCAUAUUCCAUUAUUUGAAAUAUACUUCGAACACAUU